UCCCCCGUAGCCUAACUGGACAAGGCAGCGGCCUUCUAAGCCGCAGACUGUGGGUUCGAGUCCCACCGGGGGAA
rnacentral:tRNA from 1 species